rnacentral:lncRNA from 1 species
AGUUUUGUAACAUGUAAAAAUAGAUAUAAUUUGAAACCAUAGUCCUAAAAGUAAGGUAUUUUAGUUGCAGGAGGAGAAGAGAGAAGACAAAAGUAACCUAUUGCAAGUGGCUGUACGUUCCAUAGAAGUAGUUGUAUACCUCAGUGUUUCCCACUGAAAGUAGCUGUAACAAUUCAUGCUUUAAUUCAUUAAUCGAUAAUUUAAUCUCUGGCUCUGGAAAGUGGAAAAAGUCUGUGAAAGCUGGUCCUACUUAAAUGGAGAUUUGGAGUUUUCGUUUGUCCCGGAUUAGUCAAGAUACAAGUAGAAAUCCUUACACCUGCCAAUACCCACAAAGGCAUCUAUGUUUUCACACAGGCCCCUCUAAUUACAUAUCAGCAGUUAAGAGGUUUCUCCCCUUUCUAGCCACUUCUAAGAUGCUAAUGAUCCUGGGAGUUUUAGCCUUUUGUUGCCUGCUGCUGCGGUGUUUGAACCAUUCCAGUAAGCCAGCAACUUUGCAGGGACAAGGACAGAGGCUUUCCCAUCUCCAAACUGUGUCACACAGGGCAUCAGUGGUCAUCUUCCUGUAUCAACUGCUCACAGCCUGUGCCCACUCAGCUCAGAAACAAUGAUAUCCUUCCUUGUUGUCCACAUUGUCAGAAAGUCUAACUCCCUGGUGCCAGGCCCUGCACCAUGGGCGCAAAGCUUCUCUAAAUUCCCAGGUUUCAUUUUCAUAACUGGCCCUCUCUUCUACUCCAAUGCAAAGCAUGGAGGGAAAGUAGGAGUGUUUGUACCAUGAGUCUCUGCACACCCCUCAUCUUGGCUAUAGUAGACUGGACCACAGAUGGACACUGUACCAUGCAGAUUACUUCUUCCAGGAACUUGGAUUGAGACCAAGAGACUCAUGGCAUCCUCUUCUGGCUGCAAGACUUAUAUUUUUAUAUUUAGGCAAUAGAAGAGGGGCAGCAGAUGCCUACCUUGUGGAACAGAGGAAGGCAGGCAGUUCACAGAGAAAGAGGACUAGACAGUCGGACAGAGGGGAGCAGGCUUGGGAGCUUCGUGGAGCCAAUGUCCAUCUCUGUCCUUCCUUUCCACUCGAUGCUCCUGAGUCCCUGCCUUCAACCCCCGCUUGUUUGCUUAAACUGGUUUGAGUUUGUUUCUGCUGUUUGAAAAACAACAACAACAAAACCCCAAACAAAACAAACAUCAAACAAAAACCAAAACAAAACCAUUAACUCACUCAUCCCUGUGAUUGUAUUUUGAGAAAUAAAGGUGAUUUCCUUCAGAAAACAAAGCGUAAAAACCCUGCCCUCCUCCUCUACCUCUCCGAUCGCCUAUUAAAGCCCAUUUGCUCCACGGUAAUGUAGAAGCUGUUCCCACACAUCAGCUCAUGUACAGUGUUGGACAGCAUUUCUCUGCAAUUCUUUCC